rnacentral:rRNA from 1 species
UACGUAGGGGGGCAAGUGUUGUCCGGAAUUAUUGGGCGUAAAGAGCGUGUAGGCGGUCCGGUAAGUCAGCUGUGAAAGUCAAGGGCUCAACCCUUGAAAGCCGGUUGAUACUGUCGGGCUAGAGUCCGGAAGAGGCGAGUGGAAUUCCCGGUGUAGCGGUGAAAUGCGCAGAUAUCGGGAGGAACACCAAUGGCGAAGGCAGCUCGCUGGGACGGUACUGACGCUGAGACGCGAAAGCGUGGGGAGCAAACAGG